ensembl:antisense
AGGGAUCCUUAACAACCUUAGGAGCCUCCAUACACCAGCUUCAACUAGAGUGGCUGGGAUAUUCCAUCAGUCAUUAGAGCUCCUGGGAUCAGACAUGUGAGUCUUAACACAGGGCCAACUUGUAAAUCAAAUGUUGGAAGUUUGGUUUGGAAUCACACCUUUUCCUGAAGUACAUCCACUCACCUUGUUAGCAAUCUCCUGGAUUUCUGGUGUGGCAGGUCUUGCCUCUGAAACACCUCCGAGAAUCAUCUUGAUGAGUUGCUUCCUUGCUGGCUUGGACACUGAGAAGAAAUGAUCCUGUAAGCACUGAGACUCGGGGUUUUAAAGAUGAGAUGUUCCAAGCUCUCCUGAAACAACACCUCUGGCCCAAGGCAGCACCGGUGAACUGACCGGCCAUCAACCCUUACCUUAACAGAGAGAACAGCAAACAGGAUGGCAGAAAACAUAUAUCUUAGAUGUAUUAAUACUCUUUGUAAAAGAUUUUGUUCAAUGGUUUUGUAUAAAUAUUUCGCCUGCUUGUACUUAUGUGCAUCACAUGUGUGCAAUGCCUGAAGAUGUCAGAAGAGGGUGGAACAUCCCCUCGACCUGGACUCAGAGAUGGUUGUGAGCUGCCAUGUGGGUGCUGAGACCCAAACCUAAGUCCUCUGCAAGAACAGCCAGCACUCCUACCAACUUAUCCAUUUCUCCAUCUGGAUUUAAUUUUUUUUACUUUAUAUUUAAAUCUUGGCAAAGAUCACAUUCCAGAGUUACAUUUUAUUUUCAUGAUGCCUGGAAGAGGAGCAGAGGGCAGCCCAUGUUUUGGGUGAUUCAUUUGUCUGAGUUCUAAGUUGGGACAAAGAUUUACUAUAAAGUUUGAUAAGGGAAAAGAAACUAAGAUUUGAUUUGGAAAAUAUGGACUAUAUAGUCACUAUAUGUCUGUUGUGCUACAAUCUACUUUGUGACUACCCACCAGGCUUUGUAAAG